rnacentral:lncRNA from 1 species
CACAAAAAGAAUGAAAAAACAUCCAACCAUGAGCAAAAAACAACCAAAGAAAAAUCUCUAAUCUGGAUCGCUUAGGGGUUUACUAGACUGGUUCAAGGGCAGUGCUGGAGGACCUAAGGUUUGGAGGAACUAGAGGGUUGGGAUUGAAGAAGAUUGAGAAUUGUUUGAAGCAUCCCUUCACCUUUUUCCUUUUGCUUUGCUAGCUCAUCUUUCAGGCUAUUCAUCUCAUUUUCCAGUUCAACAACACGAGCCUAGAGCCGAGCAAUCUCAGCAUCCUUUGUCCCGCACUCUUGAACCAAGGCCCUAACAUUGUUGUUCAUAUGAGCCUUCAUAGAUGAACCAUGUUCAUUUGGGGAUACACUGAGGAGAUAGUCACAAGCCGGUAGGGUUUUGACACCACAAUGGUCUUUGCUGGAGGCCAUUUCCCAUUUCUUCAAGGGAACAUUGAACCUAUCCAACACAGUCGUCAGUAUGAAACCAUAAGGGGUGGCAUGAGCCUUGGAGCGAUUUAUGACCCUGUCCAAUAGCUUGACAAUGAAGGCAGACCAGUUAAUCUGCUUUCCUCUCAUAAGGCAUUUCAGAAGAACCAAGUCUAUGUAGUUAGCAGUAUGCCUUCUCUCUAUCUGGGCAGCAGACACCUGUUCACAAAUUUAAAUAGCACCUUGUGCUCAGGCUUCAUCUUACUCUACUGCACAAACCUUGCCUCUGGCACAUCUUCAUCAAACUCUCUGUAUCACAAAAGUUCUUGGUUAUUUGGAGAGCACUAGGAAGAUCAUCUAGACAAGGCCACCUCUGCCUAGUGUAGUCAUCAUAACCCUCACAAGGUAUGUCCAAAAUCUUGCCUAAUUUAGCUGCAUCAAACUACGCCUUCACUUCCCUAACCACAGUGGUGACUACCCUAUUUUUGACUGUGGCGUUAGCCAUGAACUCGAUAGUCUCCUUUCUUGCCAGCCUUCCAUCCAAUUGAAGUACCAUGUCCUUCCAGCCAUGUGCAUCUAUGGAAUCUACAAAUCUAAUCAUGCCUGGCUCCUCCAGGUCUUUCAGAAACCUCCCCUUCAGAAUCUUCCUCCUGCCAAAGAUGGCAAAUCGAUUGUGUUCCUUUUCGGACUCCUCAUCUUCUUCUUCCACUGUCCAUUAUUCUUCUUCUUCUUCUUCUUUAGUAACCUUUAUCCGUUUUCCUUUCACUGCCGACCUAGUUCUUUUGGCCAAGGAGGGUUCAUCAGAUACAUAUUUUGAAGACUUCUUUGCAGGAGUCUUGGUUCCUUUUGGUUUGGCAGUGGGAACCUCCACAGUUGUACCUCUUUCUUGAUGGAUCAGUUCCAUCCCCUCAUCCUUUUCUUCAGCAACCUCAAAACUUUCCAUAACUUUUUCCUUUCCUUUUUUCCUUCUUCUUUUUCUUACUUUCUUCUAAAGCUUUCUGUAGUUCUGCCUCACGCAUAUGUGCUGCAAAGGCUAUGAGGAGUCUGAUUGUCUCUAGUCUUGCAACUAGAGCAAAGGUCUCAUCAUAGUCAAUACCUUUCUCUUGGCUAUAGCCCUGAACCACCAGCCUUGCCUUGUUUCUUGUAACUGUUCCAUCUUCAUCAAGUUUGUUCCUGAAGACCCAUUUUGUACCAAUGACUGGUCUAUCCUUGGGUCUUGGAACUAGAUGUCAGACUUGACUUCUUUCAAAUUAGUUGAGUUCCUCCUGCAUAGCAUUGACCGAAUCUGUAUCCUGCAAAGCCUCAACAACAUUUUUAGGUUCAAUAAGAGAUAGAAAAGCACCAAAUGCACACAUAUUCUGUAGUUGUAAUCUAGUUUUGACUCCACAUGUUUGAUCAGUAAUGAUGUUAAUGGGAUGAGAACUUUGAUACUUAUGGAAUUUCACCACCAACUGGUUUCUACUAAUGAUUCUCCUUUGAUUUGUUGCUGAGGAAUAGGUUCAUAGACAGGUUCUUGUAGAGAGUUUGUUUCAAUUUCUCCCUGAUUAGUUCCCCCUGUCAAGUUGCCCUGAGUGGAAGAACCUGCUCCUUCUUUUGAUGCUACUUCAGUCAAUUAUUUUACCAGUUCAAUAGCUUCAUCUUCAUGUUCCUGUCUCUUAGAAAGAAUGCUUCUGUCAGGUUGCCCUGAGUGGAAGAACCUGUUCCAUCACUUGUUCCUUCUUUUGAUGCUACUUCAGUCAAUUCUUUUACCAGUCCAAUGGCUUCAUCUUCAUGNNNN